GGAGGAUUAGCUCAGCUGGGAGAGCACCUGCCUUACAAGCAGGGGGUCGGCGGUUCGAUCCCGUCAUCCUCCCCCA
rnacentral:tRNA from 1 species